rnacentral:rRNA from 1 species
CUCAGUAACACGUGGAUAACUUACCCUUAGGACUGGAAUAACCCCGGGAAACUGGGGAUAAUACCAGAUAAGCCAUAGACGCUGGAAUGCCCUAUGGUUCAAAGCUCCGGCGCCUAAGGAUGGAUCUGCGGUCUAUCAGGUUGUAGUGGGUGUAACGUACCUACUAGCCGACGACGGAUACGGGUUGUGAGAGCAAGAGCCCGGAGAUGGAUUCUGAGACACGAAUCCAGGCCCUACGGGGUGCAGCGGCGCGAACACUUUACAAUGCGGGAAACCGCGAUAAGGGAACCCCGAGUGCCAGCAUCAAAUGUUGGCUGUCCAGAUGAUUAAAAAUCAUUUGUUAGCAAGGGCCGGGCAAGACCGGUGCCAGCCGCCGCGGUAACACCGGCGGCCCGAGUGGUAGCCGUUUUUAUUGGGUCUAAAGGGUCCGUAGCCGGCCUGAUAAGUCCUUUGGGAAAUCUGGCAGCUUAACUGUCAGGCUUCUAAGGGAUACUGUCAGGCUUGGGACCGGAAGAGGUAAGGGGUACUCCAGGGGUAGGAGUGAAAUCUUGUAAUCCCUGGGGGACCAUCUGUGGCGAAGGCGCCUUACCAGAACGGGUCCGACGGUGAGGGACGAAAGCUAGGGGAGCAAACCGGAUUAGAUACCCGGGUAGUCCUAGCUGUAAACGAUGCUCGCUAGGUGUCAGACACGGUGCGACCGUGUUUGGUGCCGCAGGGAAGCCGUUAAGCGAGCCACCUGGGAAGUACGGUCGCAAGGCUGAAACUAAAG